rnacentral:piRNA from 1 species
GCAGACUGCCAAGGCCCAGAAGAA